GAUGAAGAACGUAGCGAAAUGCGAUAAGUAGUGUGAAUUGCAGAAUUCAGUGAAUCAUCGAAUCUUUGAACGCACAUUGCGCCCCUUGGUAUUCCAUGGGGCAUGCCUGUUCGAGCGUCAUUUGUACCUUCAAGCUCUGCUUGGUGUUGGGUGUUUGUCCUUGCUCUAGUGGCGGGACUCGCCUUAAAGUAAUUGGCAGCCAGUGUUUUGGUUUUGAAGCGCAGCACAAGUCGCGAUUCAAGUCUAUACGCUAGUUUCCACAAGUCUUUUAUCACUUUUGACCUCGGAUCAGGUAGGGAUACCCGCUGAACUUAAGCAUAUCAAUAAGCGAAGGA
rnacentral:misc_RNA from 1 species